GAACGUGCUGAAAAAAAAAAAAAAUUGAAUUUUAUUGAAAUACUUGUAUUAUAAUAUUGAGUUGAUUAAUUCGAAAGCAACUACCGAAUGACAAAAAUUGUCGCAGUGCUGCAAUACAGUACAUAUAAGUAUAGCACCUUUGCCUUGUUAUCAGGAAGGUGCGAGCAACCUCUUCCUCUUUAGCGCUACCACCUGAUUGCGCGGUAAACAUUACCUUAGUGCGUUAGCUCGUGGCACGAGUCGUUAACACUUCCUUUAUUCAUCUGCCCUGAUAUGCAUUCAGUUGAACCUGAAAAUAUAUAUUUAAAUCUUAAUUUUCAAAAAAUUAAGAUACCUAUAAUAUAAAUAAUAAUAGAUUUGAAGAAACAGUAAACGGUGAACUCGUGUGAGUUCGAAUCGAUAUACAUACAUAUUAUCAGAUUGAGAUAAGCUCGAAGAAAAUUCGUUUUAUUGAUAACUGUUAUCUGAUACCACUGGUAAAAGAAUUGUAACAAUUGUCCACUAUGAUUUUUCGAUAACAGCGAACAAAUUAAGAAACCUUCUCGAAAACAGAAAAGAAAUUUUUCUAAUAUAUGUAUAAUUAACGGACGGUAACUAAUUUUCAAAUAAACUAACAAUAGGACGAACAAAUGUUGAAAUUUUCCCAAUGAUAGAUUCACGUUUAAUUUGCUGACAAUGAGUUGAUUUAACCCUUGAACAGCGGAGCCUGGGUCAAUCAUGAUCCAAAUUUAUGUAACUAGGUACAUUUUUAUAAAAGAAUAAGAAAUUGUGCCCUUUAUUAUACAUACGUGUAGCUUCUUAUUGCUUAAUUGAAUUUUCAGGUAUUGUGCAAUUAGGUAUUCUUUUUUACUUAAAUAAUUACAAAGAAUAUGUCGUACCUUUCACACUUUUCUACCUGAAGAAUCAAUAGAAACAUCGAAUAUCUUUGAGAGAAGCCAAUGAUUACACGUUAUCAGUAGACGAUGCGAUAAAGCGAUAACAAGUUGGCUUGUACAGGUAUUAUCGAAAAUCCUCUGUUAAUGGUAGUAUUUUUCUCUUUAAUUUUCAAGUAACAAUACCUACCAGAACUGUAUAAAAUAUCUGUUUUUAUUAUACUUAUUUUGUCGAUAACUAAUCGACGCGACGAUUCGAUCGAUUAUUAUUUGAAAUAAUUAACGAAAAAUUGUAAAAUUAUUCUCAACAAAUUCUCGUUGCUAUUUUAACAAUUUUAAUGAUUUCGCGUUAACUUGUUAAUUAAAUCUUCCAUUUACGAAAAAGCACGGUUUCAUUAACAUACAUAUGUAUACCGGCAAACAAAAUAUCUUUCGUAGACUUUCUUUUGAAAAGCCGAGAAUAUUAGCAAACACGCGAGAAUGAGAAUGAAAUCUUCUGCAAGCAAGCGAAAUAGAUAAAUUUAAAAAAAAGGCGAACGUUCAAACAUUGUUGUUACGGUAAUCGCGUAACAAUUCUCUUAUCAACGUCAACGUGUUUUUCGACACGCUUGUUAAUUAAUGCCAAAACAAUCAAGUAUCAAACCGAGGUCCUUUACUUUGUUCUACUUCGAUGUUAUUUACAACCGAAAGUCUCGUUAUCGCGAUGAAGAGGCAAAAUCUCUGUUUGCAUUUAACCAAGGUUUUGGGUCGAUCGAGACCCAGAUAAUAUGAAUUAGAAAAAUUAGAGUUAACACUAGAAAGAACAUCUGCCGUUGAAUAAAAUUAAAAUUAAUUUUUUUUUCUUAUUUUAGGAGAAGUGAACACGCGAGCUUAAAGCACUACAUAUAACGAAGAGCGAUACACAUUCGAUACCUGAAAAUUCAACAACGUUAUCGGGGCGCGUCGCGGCGCGGCGGUUCUAAAGAAGAAAAAGGUUUCGUUACUCGUGUUCAAGAAAGUUACAUAAUCGUCAUUUUGAAGCGCGAAGCGAAUGUUGUGUGUUCUCUAGUAGCAAUUAUAUCCCUGAAAUUUACACAUGAAAAGGUUACGGUAACAAGAAUUCCAGCUGCGAAUACACGCGACUGCGGGGAAUCCAAUGGUGAUGGUGAUGGACGUGCGCGACUUCCACCGUUUGAUUCUUUUUUUCUUUUCUUCUCUUUAUACGCGAAUAUUCUUUUGAUUGUUUUCAAUUUAUUCUUGAAUUACAAUAUAUAAAUUUAAUUUAUCGAACCUUUAAUUAACCACUUACUUACCGCUAGGUACGUACCCCCCGGUAACAAAAUACCACUGAUCAUGGUAGACAUCCGGAUGGAUAUGCAUUCCGUUUUGACAAGUUCAUCCUCGCGCACGUUAUCGUGAAGAAAGAAGUGGAGGAAAAUGGAAAAGGGUAAGAUUGAUCGAAAGAAAAAAAGAUUGUAAACUAACGAACAACUUUUUUGCAGAAUGAACGAAUGAACGAAUGAACGAACGAAGAGGUUCAAGAACGAGUGACGUGGAUGUCUCUCUGGUGCGACUCAUAUACUCUACCUGCGCCGAUCUGACGUCACGGGUAUGCCUCUUAUCAGGAAGGAGUACCAAUACCUGGGGUAUUCUGAAAAUCUUCAGAUGGCGUUUCUUUUUCAAACAUUUCUUAUUAAUGCAACUGUAUCAUUCCAGGCCAUUGGAGAGACAACGCGUUCCUCGAGUAAACAAUGUCUGCUGUUUAUCCAACUUUGUCAAAGUUAGUUGUAAGUGAUGGUUAUGACGAGGAAGAUUUAACAGAUAUCGAUGAUGAAGUAUUCAUUCGAGAUGGAAAGAAUGGUAGUUUAAAGUUGCAUGAUGAUGGUGGGGUGAAACAGCCUUUGAUGGCACCUCGCAGAAGAUACAAGAAAUCUCAUAAUUUUGAAACAUACAAGCUUUCAAAUAAAGCCUUUUAUGUACCUCUUUGCUUUGGACUCAUGGCAUUAGUAAUAUUAUUAAGUUUAAUUACAUUAUGUAUAUACAUUGUAAAUGUAAUUCCUAUGCCACUGUCAAUCCUAAAAAAUUGGUUGUCACACGACGUUGGAGAUACAUUAAAGGAAUCUAACAUAGUUCCAUGUACCUCAUUGGCAACAAAAAUUUUAUGGACCAGGUCCUUACCAAAAUUGACAUCUGAAUCUCCAUUAAGAACUACUGAUGUUAAUGCUGAUGGAAUUGAAGAUAUCAUCAUUGGAUUUAGUACAGGUUUAGAUGUGAUAAAUACUCCAGAGUACAUUUGUGCACUAUAUUUUGAAGGGCAAGUUCCAUGUUUUGGUGGAGUUUUGGCUUUGAAUGGUAAAACAGGAGAUACACUUUGGAUACAUUGGACAACUCAUGCAAUAUUUUCAAUUGAUUGCAAUUUGGAUUUAACAAAUGAUAAAAUUAAAGAUUGUAUUAUAUGUGGACGUGGAGGAAUACUUCAUGCUGUGAAUGGGCAUGAUGGAACUAGCAUAUGGGAAAUCCCAAUUAGAGAAUUAUCAGCUUCAGAAGAAUGGAAACUUUCUGAUAUUUAUGAUGCUAAAUUUAUUGCUGAUAUUGAUGGAGACGAAAUUGGGGAUGUUAUCGCAUCGCAUACUAUACAAUCGAGAGAAAUUCAUACAAGUGAAAUUCUUAUAAUAUCAGGAAUCAAUGGAAAUGUAAUACACAGUUCAAUUUUACCAAAUACAGAGCAAUUAUUUUUAGCACCUCAAAAAUUAAUACAUCCAGAUGGAGAAAAUAUUUUUAUUCUUGUAACCAGUAGUCAGAAACAAUCGGGAGGGUUGUAUAUAAUUCCUCAAGUAGAUCUAAUGUAUGGUAAUUUGAAUUUACGAAAGUUACAUCAUGAUACGGGAAAAGGAACUUUAUUGCCCCCAAUUUUGGUGGAUGUAACAUUAGACGGAGUUGAAGAUAUUGUUACUGCUAUGUUCAACUCAACAAUAAUAGUUUAUAAUGGAUUAACAUUCGAACCUAUUUGGAAUUAUACCAUCCCCAAUUCUGAAGUAAUAAGUAUACCUAUUCCUGGUUAUUAUAAUGAUGACGAUGUACCAGAUUUUAUGGUAAAACAUCAAAUAGGUUCAGGUUUUCCAACAUAUUAUUAUACAGUAGCAACAAUCAUCGAUGGUAAAACUGGUAAACCAUUAUUAGAAAAGCCAAUAGAAGAUAGUUUAAGUAAAGAAAUGUCUGGUUUAUCAAUUACUGUUGAAGGUUUUGGAAACGAUUGGUUUUUACACUGGUCUGUCGAUUGUUUAAAUUAUGAAGGAGUUAAAGAAAAAUAUCAGUUUUUAAAAAGUGAAGAUCUCGUAUCUGAAUCACGUGUUGAUCUUUGUAAACUGAGGUUUAAUUCCACUUUGACUACAACUUUGUAUGCUUUGAGUCAGCAUGUUGGACCACCUGGUAUAUCGUUAUAUUUUUCUGUAGAUUGGAAGUCUUUAGAAUAUAAUAACUCUAUAAUGGAAUCAUAUGCAAAUAUGCCAUUUGUAUCUGAAAGAUCACCAAAAAUUGAUAGAAAUCAAAAUAAAGACAAUGUACACACAAAAGAACGUAAAGAUAAAUCUGGCGAUAUGAAUAACUAUUUUGAACCUUAUGGACAAUAUGUAACUAAUAAAAAACUAUUUCCUAUGGAUAGUCAGAGUGACAAUAUAGAUGAUUUUAAUCGUGAUUACAAUUUGCAAAAUGAAAAUAAAUGGAUAAACCCAAAUGAGCAAGAAAACAAAGAUUAUGACAUGGUAUAUGAUGGUAAUAAUAACAUUAAUAUACAAGAAGAGCGGUCUAUAAAUUAUUCACAAGUAAAUAAAAGAUUGGAAGGAACAAGUAACAUCAACAAUAGAUUUAUUCACGAACUUAAUACAGAUGUAAAUAAACCAUCAAAUAUUACAAACAGGACAAAUGUACCUAAACAAAUUAAUAAUUAUCUUACAAUUUUUGAUAUUGCAAAUGAUAAAGAUACAGAUGCGGAAACAACGGUGCUGCGCAAAAGAUCAAUGAACAUUUUACAAGACAAUAUGCAGACUCUUACUCGCGAAAAACAAAAAUUACCAAAACAGAAUAAAAAAACAAAUAUUAAAGAAAAAUCAAAAAUAAAAUUAAUAAAUAAAUUACAACUUGAUUCGAAUAAAUAUCAAAAGAAAAGAGAAAUAAAUAGCAAACACAAUAGAAUAUAUCCAACAUAUGGUGUACAAAAGCAACCACCGACUGGCGUCCUAUUACCUUCUAUUUUACAAUCAAAAGGAUCAACUUCCAUAGAUUUAGUAUUUUCUACAUUUUGGUUACCAUCUUCUGAUAUACCUAUAAUACUAAUUCAGGAAGAUCUGGAUUGUAUCCAUAGGAAAAAAAUGCUUUCAGAAAAAAAAUUACAGUACGAACAAAAUGAUGAUAUUGUCAAGGAAUGUUUAAAUGAACGAGGCGUUGAUUAUAAAACAAAUCAAGAAACAACUGAUAAAGAGAAUUCCAAAAUUUCUCUUGGACAAAUGACAAUAUAUAGAAUCAAACUGGAAUGUAUAUGCCCAGAGGAUAUGUUACCUAAUCAAAGUUGCAAAAAUAUUUCAUCCCAUCAGAGUUGGUCUGAAUAUUUGGGUUUGCAUGGGAAUGGAUAUUUCAAACCUCUUUAUAAAGCAAACACGAAAUGAUUUCUUUACACUUUACUUAUACUUUUAUAAACUAUUAUAUUGAUUUUUUUAAAUAUAUUUUUCUUUUCCUCUAUGUGAGGAACGAAUAAAUAUAUAUAUAUAUUUUUUAUAAAUAUUGGAGCUAUUAUUUAAAUUUCAAUGUUGCUAAGACAUGAAUUCUACUUAUUAAUUAGUGUAAGAAUUGUGUAUAAUUGUUCCUUGAAUAUGUACCUGUUGUGUAAUGAAAACUAUCAUUACCAAACUUCAAUACAAUUUGGUACUAAUAUUUUGAGUACAUUAUACUAGAUAAGUAUAUCAGAUGACUUAUAUUAAUAAAAUGUUUACAUAUUCAUAAAAUUAUACCCAAUUGCUUAAACCAACUGCUUUAUUCUUUAUUAUACUAAUGAAAGUAAAUUAUUGAAUAAUGUUACAUGUAAAAUAUUUAUGACAUAUGAAAUAAAUAUUAUAAUUGAUAUAAUGUUAUUAUUUAUACAACGAAAUAAAACUGUGCUGCAUAUAUGUAUGUAUAAGUUCAAAAGUUGUGAAGUUAGUGUUUGAUCAAUAUUCAGUUGCUCCAUAAAUUUUUACUAAACGACUGUUGUCAUAUUCAUUCUUUCUUUUAUUUAAGGUCAUACUAUAUUUGUGUACUUUUUGCAACAAUUAAUUACAUUAAAAUAUAGUUUAUAACUGUUAAUUUAUAAAAACUAUGCCUAGAAGACAAAUAAUAAAUCAAUAUGUGCAGGAAUGUUAUGUCUACAUGUAAAAAGAUGUCGAAAAAUCAAACAUAAGAUUGCAAACAUAAUACAAGGAAACAAUAUAAAACUGAAAAAUAACAUUGGAUUAUAAAGUUCAGGUAAAUUUAUAUCUGCAAAUAUACUCCAAGAAUAAUA